GAUGAACGCUGGCGGCGUGCCUAAUACAUGCAAGUAGAACGCUGAAGGAGGAGCUUGCUCUUCUGGAUGAGUUGCGAACGGGUGAGUAACGCGUAGGUAACCUGCCUGGUAGCGGGGGAUAACUAUUGGAAACGAUAGCUAAUACCGCAUGACAACAGUUAUUGCAUGAUAACUGUUUAAAAGGGGCAACUGCUCCACUACCAGAUGGACCUGCGUUGUAUUAGCUAGUUGGUGAGGUAACGGCUCACCAAGGCGACGACACAUAGCCGACCUGAGAGGGGGAUCGGCCACACUGGGACUGAGACACGGCCCAGACUCCUACGGGAGGCAGCAGUAGGGAAUCUUCGGCAAUGGACGGAAGUCUGACCGAGCAACGCCGCGUGAGUGAAGAAGGUUUUCGGAUCGUAAAGCUCUGUUGUAAGAGAAGAACGAGUGUGAGAGUGGAAAGUUCACACUGUGACGGUAUCUUACCAGAAAGGGACGGCUAACUACGUG
rnacentral:rRNA from 1 species